rnacentral:rRNA from 1 species
AUUGAACGCUGGCGGCAGGCCUAACACAUGCAAGUCGGGCGGUAGAGGACUUCGGUCCUUGAGAGCGGCGGACGGGUGAGUAACGCGUGGGAAUCUAGCUUUUAGUGGGGGACAACUUGUGGAAACGCAAGCUAAUACCGCAUACGUCCUACGGGAGAAAGCAGGGGAUCUUCGGACCUUGCGCUAAAAGAUGAGCCCGCGUCGGAUUAGCUUGUUGGUGAGGUAAUGGCUCACCAAGGCGACGAUCCGUAACUGGUCUGAGAGGAUGAUCAGUCACACUGGAACUGAGACACGGUCCAGACUCCUACGGGAGGCAGCAGUGGGGAAUAUUGGACAAUGGGGGCAACCCUGAUCCAGCCACGCCGCGUGUGUGAAGAAGGCCUUAGGGUUGUAAAGCACUUUAAGUUGGGAGGAAAGGUUGUUGGCUAAUAUCCAACAGCUGUGACGUUACCAACAGAAUAAGCACCGGCUAACUCCGUGCCA